rnacentral:lncRNA from 10 species
GAAAAUCUUUGAACCUGCCUGUGACGUGGAAGCCCCCAAUUCCAGUUGUUCCACCUUUCUGAACUGAACCAUUGUACAUCUUACAUGUAUUAAUUGAUGUCUCAUGUCUCCCUAAAAUGUAUAAAACAAAGCUGUGGCCCAACCACCUUGAGCUUAUGUUUUCAGGAUCUUUUGAGGCUGUGUCAUGGGCCAUUAGUCACUCAUAACUGGCUCAGAAUAAAUCUCUUCAAAUAUUUUACAGAGUUUGACUGUUUUCAUCGACACAAUGUAAAUAUCAUCUGAGAUGUUAUACUAACCCAUUUAUUUAUUAUUCACUCACUACAUCGUUAUUAAACAUCUUUGAUGUGCCAGGCAUGUGGGGGUGGCUCUGGGCAAACAAAGAAAUAUGCUCAGUCCCUGUCAUUGAGUGAGGCCCAUAAACACAUAAUUCCAGCACAACCUGUUAUGUGAAAAGACAAGGUAUAUAUCAAGUGAAAUGUAAACAAAGGAGGAAAUGACUAACUUUGCUUGGGAUUGCUGAGAAAGACUUUGUAGAAGAGAAGAUUUUUUAUCAGUGUCAUGAAGGCUUAAUAGCAACUGAUUUGUUAAAGAAUCAUGAAAAGAUCAACCCCAAGAAAGAAAAGGAAACAUGGAAGGACCUGGACUGGAGUCACGCCAGUACAAGGAGGAUACUGGCAAAGAUGAGCAGAGCUGAAUAAUUGUAUUGGAGAAUGUGUGGCCCACAAAGCUUGACUAUCUGGCCCUAUACAGAAGAAGUUUGCUGAUCUCUGACUUAGCUGCCUAGGAAUAGCCAGGCAACCAGCUGCUACUUUGAGCACCCGGCUAAAAUAAGCAGAGACAACUGGAAGGCUUGAUGUGAAAAAGAGCUGUUGAAGUGUACACAAGCAAGCUGACUGCCUUAUGACUAAUACUUGACAGAACCCAGCAAGAGGAUAUGAGAUUGCAGAUGGAUGACCUCAAUCCUGAACAGAAAGGCGUGCAUGAUAAUGGAGAGAAAAAAGCCAAUGGGGAAAAAAAACCCACCACUAUUUUUUUAAUAGCCUAACACACACACAAAAAACUGGUUUUCCUUUUUCUGUAAUGUGUCUGUAGAGCUGGCUAUUCUGAUUAAAGUUGCCCUUGAAAAAGCAAUUAACUUAAGAGUCUUACUGGAAGUUAAAAAUCCCAAGGGGCAGGAAAAAUGAGUGUAUGGGAAGCCCAGUCAACAGGUCAGAAGGUACAGCUGGGAGGUUUUAGCAUUACGUACCGUGUGUUUUUCGUUUAAGGGAGAAGCUUAUUUGCUCACUGCUAUAGUUUGGAUGUUUGUCCCCUUCAAAUCUUGUGAUGGAAUCUGAUCCCCAGUGUUGGAAGUGGGGCCUAAUGGGAGGUGUUUGGGUC